GUUAUUAUAAUUUAAUAUGCUAUUACCAUAAGCAAGGGAGUGCUCCAUAUGCAUUUGGACAGAAAAUAAGUAAAAACUGUUCAGAACAAUGCUUCACAAAUCCAUAAUCUGUAGUGUAGCAGGGAAACAUUAUCAAUAUCGUAAAAUACACAACAAAUAAGAGCUAAUGCAAUUAUUGUUAUAUGUAUUUCAUAUUAUCAAUGUGCUUUUAGCAAAAAAGCGUAUUUAUCUCCUUCCCCAAAAACAUCCCAUGUUCUAAGAAGACCCUGGUCGGCUAAGCAAUAUAUUACAAGAAAUACCUGGUAGUCUAUCGCCGAUCUGGUUACAAUUACUAUUUGCUAAGUAAAUUGGCAUUGUGAUUUAUCUUAGUCAUGUGCCACUCUAUUGCAUGCGACCUGUUCCUGUAUCAUGUUCAUGUCUGUACAUUGCUUCUUUUAUUUACUUUUUUUUUUUGCCACACAUAUUUCAAUAUAAAUCAUGAUCAGUCAUACUGUUUUAAGUUUUUCUAUACAUUGAAAAAUCUGGUUUGAUAGAUAGGUAGCACUAUAUGUGGAAUUAAGUGUCAAGGAGGCGCUUCUGUGUCAUCUGUAUAGUAUCUUCACCACUUCUGUUUCCUACUAUUGCUUGGUGUUUUGGAACUGCUUGCGUUUCCUUAAAAAAUAUUAUCAAUAGUUUAAACGUUGAAUUUCUAACUCAAGGCGCGGGAACUGAUAAGUCAACCAUAUCGCAAAACUGAGAGAAAUGAAGGAGAUUAUACUUUGAGCAAGUAGAAGAGCACGACUUUUAUGUGAAUGGUAGAAGACUUUUGAAGAGUCAGAAGCAGAAGGAACUCUCCUUCCUGGUAGGUUUGUUGAAACUGUAAAAUGAAUAUAGUUAGGGUAUGCAUCAAGCUAUACCUAAGUAAUUGGACCUUCAAGGAUGGAUGUAGCUUAUUUAUACAUGUACCAUUAUCUCUUUGAAUCUUUGCAUGUCACUGAUAGAUCCAUCAUUUAGUUAUUCCUAGCCUGGUCCAAAUGUUUUUCAAGUGAACGAUUCUUCAUUGCAUGUAGAUUCUUAUAUGAGCUUCAAAUGAAAAUGUCAUGCAUUAAAUUUUACUUUUGGAUGGGAGAACAGGUACAACUUUAUUCGAACUUAGUGUGCAUAAUACUACCAGCCUUUGUAGCCAUGCAGUACCGCGAUGAAAGAGUCACCAUCUUUUCUUCCUUUCUAAAGAUUUCUCUUCAAUCCCUCCUCUCUCUUUUUGCCUCUUUGGUUUUCCAGCAAUAAUAUCCUUCUUCGGUGGAGUUUUCUAGCCAAGAGUUUGUAGAGUAUUCAAUUGCAGACAUUUCUGGGACAUUUCUAACAGAAGGACAAAUAUUCAAUUUUUAAAGAACAUAUUGUGAACCUCUUUCAGAUAUGACUCUGUCUGAGAAGGGAUGAACUUGCAUCAGGGUUUCAGAACUAUACUUAAUCAUCCCGCAUUGGUUUUAUUCCCAAUUCAUAACUCGAAAUUUCUUCUGGUCCUUUGGAAAUUGGGGUAUAAGUUAUAACUGUGAAAAUUAGAAAUGGCAAAAUAGGAAUAGCAAAUUAGUUUACCAUUUUCAUUAAGUGUAUGUAUAUAUAAUAUGUUAUAAAUAUAUUGCAACUCUUAAUUUCUAGUUUAUCCCUUUCUUCCAAUGGAUCCUUGGGUUAGCAAGGUCUGCUGGAUAGCCAUUAUUGAGUAGCGCCUUUUUACGAGAGAUAUGAACAAUAGGCUUUUGUUGAUUGAAAGUAGAGAUAAAAAUCAUUAUGAUUUGGUUAAUCUUGAAAAUAAUUUAUCACUUGCACGUCAUAGAUGAUUGCCAAACCUAAUUUGUUUCAACCGAGUGUCCUAGGCGGUGCACCAUCAGAAUUUUGAACUCACACAUAUUAAUUGGGAUGAUGUGCUCCUCUUGCCCAAUAAGUGUUUGGCAGUCUUGUGCUAGUUAUGGAAGUGUGCAAGUAUUUGGUAUGCACAACUGUGCUAGUGAUAUACAGUAAAGUGGUGUAAGAGUAGUGUUGUUUUUUCCUUUUUGGGGAAUGAAAGAUACUUCAUCAGAAAAACAAGCAACAGAGAGGCAUUACAACGGGUACAACAGAAAAAAGAGAAGAGUACAACUAAUCAUAGGAUAGGAGAUGAUGGUAUGGAUAAGAUGAGAUGAAGUUUUAACAGCUAACUGUCCUCCCAACACCGCACAUGGGAUCAAUUUCUUGGAGGACAAGGAGAGUCUCUUGAUAAGAUGUGCACCAAGAUGGACCGGCUCACCCAAACAUCGUUGCUUAUCCUCCUUUUGGCAAGAGAUUCCUGAGUAUCUGCAACAGCAUUUGCUGAGUGGCAAACCCAGCGCCAAUUGACUCUCCUGUAAUUCAUGAAGGCAAGUCUAGGUAGGAUAUAUCAUCCAAUUGCCUUUGAAAAUUUUGCCCUUUAUGCUGUGUAUGAGAUCGCUGGAAUCAGAUUUGUGUUUUGAACCUAUUGUGGGCACAAAGGGGAGAAAGUGAAGUAUUAUUCAUCCAAGGUUUGAUUUUGCACAAGAUCAGCUCCCCUACUUGUUGAAUUUAAGGACGUGGCCAGGGGUCUAAGCUGCAAAUGGAAUUGAUGGCUACCAGGUAGGCUGUUGCCUUUAUUUCGACCAUUGAUUGUGUAGCUUCUCACAUUUGAUCUAACGCUCUCCCAGCUGUAUGGUGGGGACAGAGGCUGAGAUAUGGUUUCCACCUCGGGGAUCCAUGGUGGUUGAUUCUCUUCAAUAUGGUUAUUGAUUGUACUGAAGUGCGUCCAGCGAAAUCGGAUCAGCAGGACAGCAUUAAAUCAGAUCUUUCUGUAGUGGAUCUUGAUCAGUUUAUUAGAUUGCAGAUAGAGGGCUUAGCAGCUGAAUCACUCUCUCCUCUCGCAGCGGGCCCCUUUUCUUUCCCCCACUGGCAUGAAGAAAGGGUCCAUUUCACUAGCUCUUCUUCUUGUGAGAAUAAAUAGAGAGGUGAGCUUAACCGACCUUUAAUUAUAUUUGUUUGCAGGGCAUCUCACACAGAGACUGGUAAAGGAAACCGGGAGGUGGAGCUGGGAGCUAUUGGAUGCUUGGUGUGCAUGAGAGUUGUAAAUAGGUGUGUACUCUGUACAUGCAGCUUAUGUGUAACAGUAUAAGCCUUGCGUAGGAUCUUCAUUCAGCCUUGCGUUUCCUUUGGAGGCUGCAUUACUGCAGAACGGGCUUAGUUAAGCACACCAUCAAAGGUUUGUUCCAAGAAGUACUUGAUUUCUACAUGACUCUGUGAAAGUUGAUUUGCUAUCCAGAUAAGCAUGUUAUGAUAAAUCUUGUAUGUUUCUUAGUAUGUUAUGCAUGCGACGUAUGUAUUUUGCUCUCAGAAAAACUAUACAUGUCUGUUGUAAGAAUGACAAAAGGAUGCAAUUGUUUGAAAUAAUAAUGUAAUUAUAUUCA